UAGUAAUGUCGCCCGAGCUUUUAUUUUGAAAAUCGGCGUGUUUGUUGUCGCGGGCUUCGCGCUGCUGAAUGAGGGAAGCGCGUGCGGCCAGGAGGCAGUCUAUGGUAAACACACACAGCGUUGAGGGAGUGGAGAGGAUUUUCUAUUUUGUACAUACAUUAUUUUGUAUAUACUGUUUAUGAUGACUUCAGUGGUCACUGAUGCUGCCAGGGGCAAUCGGGACAGAGCCCUACCACAAACCACACACACCUCACAGCCACAGAAA